GCUUUGGUGCAAUGGUAGCACACGCUCCCGAUAAGGGUGGAACACGGGCUCAACUCCCGCCUGAGACC